GGGCGUUAAGUUGCAGGGUAUAGACCCGAAACCCGGUGAUCUAGCCAUGGGCAGGUUGAAGGUUGGGUAACACUAACUGGAGGACCGAACCGACUAAUGUUGAAAAAUUAGCGGAUGACCUGUGGCUGGGGGUGAAAGGCCAAUCAAACCGGGAGAUAGCUGGUUCUCCCCGAAAGCUAUUUAGGUAGCGCCUCGUGAAUUCAUCUCCGGGGGUAGAGCACUGUUUCGGCUAGGGGGCCAUCCCGGCUUACCAACCCGAUGCAAACUGCGAAUACCGGAGAAUGUUAUCACGGGAGACACACGGCGGGUGCUAACGUCCGUCGUGAAGAGGGAAACAACCCAGACCGCCAGCUAAGGUCCCAAAGUCAUGGUUAAGUGGGAAACGAUGUGGGAAGGCCCAGACAGCCAGGAUGUUGGCUUAGAAGCAGCCAUCAUUUAAAGAAAGCGUAAUAGCUCACUGGUCGAGUCGGCCUGCGCGGAAGAUGUAACGGGGCUAAACCAUGCACCGAAGCUGCGGCAGCGACACUCAGGUGUUGUUGGGUAGGGGAGCGUUCUGUAAGCCUGCGAAGGUGGCCUGUGAGGGUUGCUGGAGGUAUCAGAAGUGCGAAUGCUGACAUAAGUAACGAUAAAGCGGGUGAAAAGCCCGCUCGCCGGAAGACCAAGGGUUCCUGUCCAACGUUAAUCGGGGCAGGGUGAGUCGACCCCUAAGGCGAGGCCGAAAGGCGUAGUCGAUGGGAAACGGGUUAAUAUUCCCGUACUUGGUGUUACUGCGAAGGGGGGACGGAGAAGGCUAUGUUGGCCGGGCGACGGUUGUCCCGGUUUAAGCGUGUAGGUGUGUGUUCCAGGUAAAUCCGGUUCACUUUAACACUGAGGCGUGACGACGAGGCACUACGGUGCUGAAGCAACAAAUGCCCUGCUUCCAGGAAAAGCCUCUAAGCAUCAGGUAACAUCAAAUCGUACCCCAAACCGACACAGGUGGUCAGGUAGAGAAUACCAAGGCGCUUGAGAGAACUCGGGUGAAGGAACUAGGCAAAAUGGUGCCGUAACUUCGGGAGAAGGCACGCUGACA
rnacentral:rRNA from 1 species